AUUCCCUACGGGACGCAGCAGUGGGGAAUAUUGGGCAAUGGGGGAAACCCUGACCCAGCGACGCCGCGUGAGGGAAGAAGGUUUUCGGAUUGUAAACCUCUGUCCUUGGUGACGAUAAUGACGGUAGCCAAGGAGGAAGCCACGGCUAACUACGUGCCAGCAGCCGCGGUAAUACGUAGGGGGCAAGCGUUAUCCGGAUUUACUGGGUGUAAAGGGAGCGUAGACGGCAUAGCAAGUCUGAAGUGAAAGCCCGUGGCUCAACCGCGGAACUGCUUUGGAAACUGUUAAGCUGGAGUACUGGAGAG
rnacentral:rRNA from 1 species